rnacentral:rRNA from 1 species
AUUGAACGCUGGCGGCAUGCCUUACACAUGCAAGUCGAACGGUAACAGGUCUUCGGAUGCUGACGAGUGGCGAACGGGUGAGUAAUACAUCGGAACGUGCCCGAUCGUGGGGGAUAACGGAGCGAAAGCUUUGCUAAUACCGCAUACGAUCUACGGAUGAAAGCAGGGGACCGCAAGGCCUUGCGCGAACGGAGCGGCCGAUGGCAGAUUAGGUAGUUGGUGGGAUAAAAGCUUACCAAGCCGACGAUCUGUAGCUGGUCUGAGAGGACGACCAGCCACACUGGGACUGAGACACGGCCCAGACUCCUACGGGAGGCAGCAGUGGGGAAUUUUGGACAAUGGGCGCAAGCCUGAUCCAGCAAUGCCGCGUGCAGGAUGAAGGCCUUCGGGUUGUAAAUUGCUUUUGUACGGAACGAAAAGGCUCUGGUUAAUACCUGGGGCUCAUGACGGUACCGUAAGAAUAAGCACCGGCUAACUACGUGCCAGCCGCCGCGGUAAAAC